AUAUGGAGGCUCCCAGGCUAGAGGUCGAAUCGGAGCUGUAGCCCCUGGCCUACACCAGAGCCACAGCUACCUGGGAUCCGAGUCGAAUUUGCAACCUACACCACAGCUCACAGCAAUGCCAGAUCCUUAACUCACUGAGCAAGGCCAGGGAUCGAACCUGCAACCUCAUGGUUCCUAGUCAGAUUUGUUAACCACUGAGUCACGACAGGAACUCCAGGACUGCAAAUUUUAGAAUCCUUGCAGGAGAUGAGUGGCAAAUUCAGAAGGGAUGAUUAGAAGGGAUUGAACUCAGCAAUAAUGCAUAAGGUGUGGUCAAGGUAAGGGAAAUCAGUAAGAAUUGGAGAAGUAAUCUGGAGCUAAAUAGUGGGAGGUCACUACCACCCCUUAACCUGAAAUGGCCAAGGAAAGGAACAGUUACCUGAAACUAGCAAGACUUGUGGCUGUAGAAAAGGGCCAGCCACUCAGAUAUUUGAGAGAAGCACCCACACACCCUGGCCAAUCCCUGCCUGCCGAUCUCCUACUGGUGUCUCCCAUUGGCUGGAAGACAGAGGCAAGGGAGCGCCAGUGAUGGUGUCUGUUGAGAUCAGCCUCCUGGGGCUCUGACUAGGGUAGGAAAGGGUGGAGCCUGGAUCUGGAGGCAAAGGGAGGCCAUCCAACACACACAUCCCUCCACCUACCUAACAAGUGAGAUGGUCUCAACUCUAGAUGGUACUUUUCUCUCUCUUUUGACACAAACUGCAUUUGAAACCAUUACCAUUUGGGUAGUUGAAAAGUGGUAUUGUGUCAUUAUUAGUGAGACGGAAAAUUUUUUCUAAAGGUUCCAUUUUCUCACUUAUAAAUUGUCUGCUUAUGGCUUUUGUUUAUCCCAAAUUAUUGGUAGAUACAUGAAACAUUCCCAUGGAGCAGUAAUAAAGGUGCACAAAAGCUUUCUGUUUUUAGAAUAGUAUUGUUCUUUUGAUGCAAUUUCAGAACAUCAUUACUGAUGUGUCUUUAAAUGGUAUUAGGUAUUUUAUCCAUAAGAGUAAUAAAUAAUGACUUAUUAUGGACAAUUAUGCGAAGCAAGAAUGUCUUUCAUUGCCUUCAUCUUUAAAACUUCUUAAAAGAUUACCAUAGAUCAAGUCCAAGGGAGCUACUCCAAACUGGAUUUUUUUUUUUUUUGAAUAAAUAUUUAAUACUGAAACCUAGUGUGGAGACAUAUAAAUGGUUUUUAGCAAAAUGUUACAAUGAAUGGCAAAUUCUUAAUACUGUGGCUUUCUUAUAUUAUCACAAAUAUCAGCGAAUUCACUUGGUAUUUGUAAAGAUAUAAACUGUGAUCCUUUAUAUAUUCAGCUGUAAUUUACCUUAAAUUGAUAUCCUUUGUCUUUUUCUCUACUGUUCAUCUUUGAUUUUGUGAAUUAAUAACAGUAGCUCUAGGACAAGUUUUGUACAUAUUAUAUUCAAUUUCAAGUUUUAGAACUGGCAUUUACAUAAACUGAAACAAUAUGAAGCAACAACAGUUUCCCUUUUAAAAUCCUGUUAAGUGUAAAUCCUAAGACCUCUACACUAUACAGAGGGAAAACUUUACAUGAACAUUAUUCUUCUCUAUGAGAUGGUCCAGGGACUAGAAGAAUGGCUCCCAAGAGACCAAUGGGAAGGAUUCAUUAUACACCAAGAGAGAAGAAUGAGCAUGAGGAAAAAGUGGGGUCAUGGAACCCAUACAGUUUGUAGGGAGGGCAGACAAGACACUGGUCUAAAGGGAAGUGGGAUCAUCCUGAAGGAAGGUGAUAAGCAAAUCUGGUACCUUGGAUGGCACCAAUUAUAGAAGAUCUUGAAAGCUGAACAGGUGGUUUGAAUUUGAUUUGACAAUAAGAAACCUUCGUAUGUAACAUCAGAGAGAAGGGAACUUAGAGCUGAUGUCUAUGGACUGAAUGUUUGUGUCCCCUCAAAAUCUGUAAAUUGUAGGUAAUUAGGAAUUACCUAAUGUGGUAGAAUUUGAAGGUGGGGCCUUUGGGAGGUAAUGAAGUUUAGAUGAAUCAUGAGGAGAGAGGUCCAUGAUGGGAUUGGUGCCAUCAUAAAGGACAAAGACACCAGAACACUCCCUAUCUCUACCACGUAAGGAUGCAGCAAGCAGGUAGCCUUCUCCAAGCUGAGAAGAGGACCCUCACCAGAAUUCCUUGCUAACACCCUGAUCUUGGGCUUCCAGCCUCCAGUACAAUGGGAAAUAAAUGUGUUUUGUUUAUGCCACCUAGUCUGUGGUCAGUGAUCCAAACCAACCUCUUCUUUCUACAGAUGAGGAAUCUGGGACCUAGAAAUCAGAAGGUGUUUUCUUUUUUUUUUCUUUUUUUGUAUAUUUUUGUCCUUUUAGGGCUGCACCCAUGGCACAUAGAAGUUCCCAGGCUAGGGGUCCAACCAGAGCUACAGCUGCCAGCCUACACCAGAAACACCAGAUCCGAGUUGUGUUUGCAACUCACACGACAGCUCACAGCAACGCCAGAUCCCCAACCCUCCAAGCGAGGCCAGGGAUCGAUCCUGCAAACUCAUGGUUCCUAGUUGGAUUCGUUUCCACUGCACCACGAUAGGAACUCCCCAGAAGGUAUUUUCUGGAUAGUUGCAAUAUAAAUGAAGAUACGGAAAUAAGCAGAGAACAAGAGGAUGUUGUGAUAGCAUUAUCUCUUCUAUUUAACUUUUCAAAGAAUCCACUGAAGCUUCUUUCUUGUAGUCCAUUUAAUUCUUUCCUUGAAUUAAAUGGCUCUGGCAGCCAUUCUCUGAAUUCUCUACAGAAUCAAGGUCAUCCCUGUGUCAAGAGCCUUUGAGUAGGGCAGUUUUCCUUAUCUCUUUGAUGUCUUGGCCCUGUGAGUGCCCCCACCUGUAGAUUCGCCAGGUGCACCAAUGUCAAGUCUUUCUCAUGAUCAUUUACUCUCAAACCUUUUAAUUCCUAAGGCCUAGUUGCCACAAAAGGGUCCACACAUGCUCAUCCUGACCCUGAGCUGUGAAAUGCAUUAUGCCCCAAAGUUUUUCAAUCAUGAUUCUUUAGUUCAUCUUUUUACAGUAUUUACUGAGGUGUUUUCAAUGGUCUGAUUUCAGACAAGAGAAAUAAAGAAUAAUAAAUAAACUAAAGAAAAAAAGAGAAAAAAGACUUUCUCACUACUUUCAAAAACAAUAAUAAACAGGGAAAUCGUUAAAUCCUGUUUUGUGCUGAGUUUAUCGGAUGUUAUCUUUGCUUUACCUUGUUAUCUCACUUUGCAAACUAUUUAUUGUCAGAUUAAAAACACCAUUAAAAAAAAAAAAAA
rnacentral:lncRNA from 1 species